UGCCUUGUUGGUUAGUUUCAAUUUCAAUGGCAGGUUCUUUUUCUUCAAGAAAAUAUUGAAAACACAUCAGAUUUCUCAUCUAACUUGUGUGAACGUUGUUGUCCCGCACUGGGUUCUCUGUUGCAAGACUAUGUUUCCAUCAAUGUUUUUCGCUUGCUAGGAUGCCUUAAUGUGAAAGCUAGUUGUUGCCUUAAGCAUAGAUGGAUAAUUUGAUAUGUUGUGCUUUGAUGAUCUUAGUCCCUUUGCAACUGCAAUAUGAGGUGACUGGAGGUAUGCUAGCUCUUAGCCUUAUGACAAAGUUAUAUUUCUCGUGUUAUGUAGCUAGUUGGUUUACGCAUGGGAAUUGGAGGAUUAGCCUAUCUAUUAUUGUUGGAUUGUUUUGGCUGGUAUUUGGGUAGUAUAAAUAUUCUCUCAGUGGAAUCACAAAGGGAACUAUGUUUGGUGUUGAGUGGAUGGGAUAAUGACUGUACUAGUGUGUUUUUCUUUAUGCGAUGUAAUUACACUUGCUACCAAUUACCUCAAGCGCUGGCCAAUUCACGAUGCUGUUGUACAACAGCAGUUCUAUAAUUUGUUGGAAAAAGAGGACCUUUAUGACCUUGAUCAUGAAGAGGACAUAUUAACACCCUUUUUAUGAUUUUUUUUGUUUGUAUGAAAUUAAUCAACGGUUAAGUAAUUGGUAUUUGGCUAUUUGCAGAAGACGCUGUAAGGCAUUGUUAGCAAUAUUAUAGAAGUAGAAUUAGAUGAGACCAGGUGAAGAAAGAGAAGAAUAACUCUAGCCUUCUAUCUUCUAACAACUCAACUCAUUAGAUGCAAGUCUUAAAUUUAGUAACUGAAUACAAGUGAGCUCUUAUAAGUUAUAAGUGGGUACAUACAACAAUUGCAAUUGGAGAAUUGAUUAUGUAAGUGUUACAACCUCUCAAUUAUGCAACAUAUGAACUUGUUGUGAUGGCAGUUCUUUUGGACAAUUAUUCCUAUGUAUAGCAUAAAUGUUUCUUGCAUAUGUACAUUCUUGUAUUCAGUUUGCAAUUUCAGUCCCAAAUCAUCUCAGUUUGCGAUUUCUGUUCUUGUUUUGGUCA